rnacentral:rRNA from 1 species
UGGGGAAUAUUGGACAAUGGGGGCAACCCUGAUCCAGCAAUGCCGCGUGAGUGAUGAAGGUCUUCGGAUUGUAAAGCUCUGUCUUUUGGGACGAUAAUGACGGUACCAAAGGAGGAAGCCACGGCUAACUACGUGCCAGCAGCCGCGGUAAUACGUAGGUGGCGAGCGUUGUCCGGAUUUACUGGGCGUAAAGGGUGCGUAGGCGGAUGUUUAAGUGAGAUGUGAAAUACCCGGGCUUAACUUGGGUGCUGCAUUUCAAACUGGAUAUCUAGAGUGCAGGAGNGGAGAAUGGAAUUCCUAGUGUAGCGGUGAAAUGCGUAGAGAUUAGGAAGAACACCAGUGGCGAAGGCGAUUCUCUGGACUGUAACUGACGCUGAGGCACGAAAGCGUGGGUAGCAAACGGAUUAGAUACCCUGGUAGUCCACGCCGUAAACGAUGAGUACUAGGUGUAGG